AUAGCGUAUAUUAAAGUUGUUGCAGUUAAAAAGCUCGUAGUUGAAUUUUGGGCCCGGCUGGGUGGUCUUGCCGCAAGGUAAGCACUGCUCCGGUUGGGUCUUUCCUUCUGGGGAGCCGUAGUGCUCUUAAUUGAGUGCGGCGGGGAUCCAGGACUUUUACUUUGAAAAAAUUAGAGUGUUUAAAGCAGGCUUACGCUUGAAUACAUUAGCAUGGAAUAAUAGAAUAGGACUUUGGUUCUAUUUUGUUGGUUUCUAGGACCGAAGUAAUGAUUAAUAGGGAUAGUUGGGGGCAUUAGUAUUUAAUUGUCAGAGGUGAAAUUCUUGGAUUUAUGAAAGACUAACUUCUG
rnacentral:rRNA from 1 species